AACGAACGCUGGCGGCAUGCCUAACACAUGCAAGUCGAACGAGACCUUCGGGUCUAGUGGCGCACGGGUGCGUAACGCGUGGGAACCUGCCCUUAGGUUCUGAAUAACUCCCCGAAAGGGGUGCUAAUACCGGAUAAUGUCUUCGGACCAAGGAUUUAUCGCCUUUGGAUGGGCCCGCGUUGGAUUAGCUAGUUGGUAGGGUAAAAGCCUACCAAGGCGACGAUCCAUAGCUGGUCUGAGAGGAUGAUCAGCCACACUGGGACUGAGACACGGCCCAGACUCCUACGGGAGGCAGCAGUGGGGAAUAUUGGACAAUGGGCGAAAGCCUGAUCCAGCAAUGCCGCGUGAGUGAUGAAGGCCUUAGGGUUGUAAAGCUCUUUUACCCGGGAUGAUAAUGACAGUACCGGGAGAAUAAGCUCCGGCUAACUCCGUG
rnacentral:rRNA from 1 species